CCACUGCAUUAUAUUGCUGCCAAUGUGACUAAUUUAGAACUGGGAAUGCCCUUUGCAACACACAGUCAGUAAACGUCCUUGCUGCAUGUUCCAUCUUUGGCGGCAAAAUUGCAGCAACCUGCUCGGGACUGCCUGUGAGCUAUUCUCGGCUAAUGCUGCCAUGUCGCUGUUUAGAUCUGUCAGCAAAAUUUCAACAACAAUUUGUUCCUCUUGAGGGAACAGGCGCUCCCUUGUUGUGGAGAGUUGCCCAGAAACCACGCUGGGUAAGAGAGUUCAUGCCCACCACGAGGCAAGGACUUCUGUAGUAGCAGAUUUUUACACCUGCGCUACCAAGGGGACAGCAGGAAAAACUAGGUGGCAGUUAAGAGAAAUGGGGAGUGCGAUACUAUGGGGUAGCUUAACCCCGUAACUUGUGGAACAAGUUUGUGUGUACGCAGCCUUACAGCCUGCUGGUGUUGAACAAAGGAAUUGUGCCUGUAGUGGCCAGAUGGGUUGGCUUUGUGCUCUCUUGUUAAAGGCAUUGGAUUAUCCUUCUAAGUAUAUGAAAUAAUGAAUACAAGAUAGUGUGAAAUGUAUUUAAAUUACAUUGAAAAUGCUCCUCUCUUAUGGUAUCUCCAAAAGAUACUCUGAAAAGUACUUAAGAUACGUACAAGCCUGGGCUUAUGAGAGAAGGUGACUAAUGAAAUGAAAAACACUGCAGACCAUCGACGAGCAUGUGGCUUAAACCGUUCUGCUACCAUGUGCAGGUGCUUGCUCAUGGCCUGGCCGGAUCAACGAUACCAUAACUACCGCAGCCUGACCAGUCUUCAAGAAAUGCAAUCGACCAUCCUUAUCUACCAAACUUUGCCACGUGCACUUGGACCACAACUACGACACCAAUGCCACGUCACUGCUUUCAUGACGCCAAUCCUUUGCUGCUUUGGGACACGUCACUUGAGGCACCAUCUAUUCUUCACAUGACGUUGAUGCAUCGGUUUAUAAGGGAACAGCUCCAGACCUACACUUGCAGGGGGCAUGGCGGACCAUCGACGAGCACGUGACUUAAACCAUUCUGCUACCUUGUGCAGGAGCACCACGCAGAUGCAUGACUCCUCGCCAGCAGCACAGCACACAUCGCAGGGGACGCUUUCCCACCAGACGCGCUACGGUGCAGCGAUCACGUCAGAGGCGUCCCGCAUCGGACGCUCCACCUAGGAAUCUAGGUGAGCGGAAAGAGGAGCCGCGUCGCCUAAACACAAGGGUUCGAGUGACGCACACUGGAAGUUGGAAGGGGAGAGAGCGAGAAAACUUAUUAAAUGCAAGGGUAUUGGAGCAUCCUCGCACUGGUCCCCGCACGGCCCCAAUGCGCUCAAACAAGACGAAGGGGAGAAGCGGGCGAGUGGUGCGCCACCUGUCGGGGCAGAGCCGUACAUUGCGAGGAGAGGGUCUUCUGUGUUUGCCGCAAGAUGGCUCUGCGUGUGCGCCAAGCGCAGAAGAAAUGUAGUGGAAACGUACUUCGCUACUCGUUUAACUGUGACUUCUGUAAUUUACAUGCUCAUAAUUACCUAUAUACACCGCAGUAUAACUUUCUACGGCACGUUUCUAAGGAAACACCGCAUUCACUAGAGGCACUUUUGUCCCGCUUUGAACCAACUAACUCAUGGCUGAGUGGUAGCGUCUCCGUCUCACACUCCGGAGACCCUGGUUCGAUUCCCACCCUGCCCAUCUUGCAAGUUGUUUUUAUUUAUGAAUUGCCGUCCGCGAUUUUUCGCUCAUGGGCAACACCGCCGACACCGGCUUUUCUGCGACACGAGCUCCUUAACGCUGUCGCGUUAAUAAUUAUCAUGUUUGCGCAUGAGCAGAAAUUAUUGAAGUCUCAGCGUUCCCUUCUUCCUGCAAGUGGUGGCUGUUAAAUCCAAUGUUCUCUUCUAUUUCUUUCUUUUCGUUUAAUAACUGCAGGCAGAGUGCGAAGUAGAGGGUAUUGGUAACACACGGUGCCCAAAAAUAAAACAUCGUUCUGUGCUAGCGCUA